AGAUCCCUAAAGAGACCCCAACAGCCCACAAAAGGUCCUGGAAGAUCCCGAAAGGUCCUGGAAGAUCCCUAAAGAGACCCCAAAAGCCCACAAAAGGUCCUGGAAGAUCCCCAAAGAAGAUCCCCAACAGCCCAGAAAAGGUCCUGGAAGGUCCUGAAAGGUCCUGGAAGGUCCAGAAAAUCCCCAGAAAUCCCCAGGAAAAAGGUCCUGGAAGGUCCCUCCAGGUCCUGGCAGGUCACAGCACGCACUUGUCCCCUCGGAAGAAGUAGGUGGCCCCGCUGGGCAGCCAGAGCAGCGCGGCGUCCAGGCGGGGGGGCAGCCCCCGGCCCAGGUCCUGCAAGGUGCGCGGGUAACCGGGCUGCAGCGCCGCCUCCGAGAACACCCAGUGCCGCUCCCCUGCGCCACGACAAACCAGUAAGGACCAGUAAGAACCAGUACAAACCAGUAGGGACCAGUAAGAACCAGUACGGACCGGUAAGGACCAGUACAAACCAGUAGGAACCAGUAGGAACCAGUAGGAACCAGUAUGGACCAGUACGGACCAGUAUGGCCUGGUACAAACCAGUAGGGACCAGUAAGAACCAGUACGGACCGGUAC
rnacentral:lncRNA from 1 species